rnacentral:lncRNA from 10 species
AAUCUACAAAGAACUUAAACAAAUUUACAAGAAAAAAAUUAAACAACCCCAUCAAUAAGUGGGCAAAGGAUAUGAACAGACACUUCUCAAAAGAAGACAUUUAUGCAGCCAACAGACACAUGAAAAACACCUGCCUCGGCCUCCCAAAGUGCUAGGAUUACAGAUGUGAGCCACCACGCCCAGCCAACUUUUUUCAUUGGAAUGGUAUAUAUUCAGAUAUGACCAGAAAGUUUUGAGGAAUGGAGGUUGACUCUACAGAGCUAAUAAAAAUCCAUUGGAAAGACUGGCCUAUUACCUUGUCUAUGCAAUUCCUUUACAAAGUUCCUGACCCAUGUCACUUUCUAAUGAGCCCGGGAAA